AAACCAACAGGGAUUGCCCUAGUAACGGCGAGUGAAGCGGCAACAGCUCAAAUUUGAAAGCUGGCUCUCGGGCCCGCAUUGUAAUUUGCAGAGGAUGCUUCUGGCGACGCGCCUUCCGAGUUCCCUGGAACGGGACGCCAUAGAGGGUGAGAGCCCCGUCCGGUCGUGCGCCUAGCCUCUGUGAAGCUCCUUCGACGAGUCGAGUAGUUUGGGAAUGCUGCUCAAAAUGGGAGGUAUACGUCUUCUAAAGCUAAAUACCGGCCAGAGACCGAUAGCGCACAAGUAGAGUGAUCGAAAGAUGAAAAGCACUUUGAAAAGAGAGUUAAAAAGUACGUGAAAUUGUUGAAAGGGAAGCGCUCAUGACCAGACUUGGGCUGGCUCGAUCAUCCGGCGUUCUCGCCGGUGCACUCGGGCCGCUCAGGCCAGCAUCAGCUUCCGCCGGGGGAUAAAGGCGGUGGGAAUGUGGCUCCCUCGGGAGUGUUAUAGCCCGCCGUGCAAUACCCUGGUGGGGGCUGAGGUUCGCGCGUAUGCACGGAUGCUGGCGUAAUGGUCAUCAGCGACCCGUCUUGAAACACGGACCAAGGAGUCGUCUUCGUAUGCGAGUGUUCGGGUGUCAAACCCCUACGCGGAAUGAAAGUGAACGCUGGUGAGAGCUUCGGCGCAUCACCGACCGAUCCUGAUGUUCUCGGAUGGAUUUGAGUAAGAGCAUACGGGGCCGGACCCGAAAGAAGGUGAACUAUGCCUGUAUAGGGUGAAGCCAGAGGAAACUCUGGUGGAGGCUCGCAGCGGUUCUGACGUGCAAAUCGAUCGUCAAAUAUGGGCA
rnacentral:rRNA from 1 species